ACUCUCGUAGCUCAACUGGUCAGAGCCCUCGACUUAUAAUCGAGAGACUAUUGGUUCAAAUCCAAUCGGGAGUA
rnacentral:tRNA from 1 species